rnacentral:rRNA from 1 species
GACGAGGGGUCCUAGCGUUGUUCGGAAUCACUGGGCGUAAAGCGUAUGUAGGCGGCUUUUCAAGUCAGGUGUGAAAUCCCAUGGCUUAACCAUGGAACUGCAUUUGAAACUGUAAAGCUUGAGUAUUGGAGAGGAUGGUAGAAUUCCUGGUGUAGUGGUGAAAUACGUAGAUAUCAGGAGGAAUACCGGUGGCGAAGGCGACCAUCUGGCCAAAUACUGACGCUGAUGCGCGAAAGCCAGGGGAGCAAACGGG